rnacentral:lncRNA from 1 species
CUCCUCCCCUCGGCGGCGUGACAGCCUCGGCCUGCCGGUCUCCCGGGUGGGCUGGGGGGCGGGCACAGGCACCCCGGCCACUUUGGAGGCUCGGGGAGAGGUUCGUAGAAGAGGCUGAGCGGACGGAGCGGAGGCGGUGCCAGGCGCCAGGCGUCCACCUGCGAGGAAGGCGCAGCGGCCGUGGGAGCCUGGGCGGCGGUGGCGGCAGCAUUGUGCUCCGAGCUGCAAGGAGACCAGAACCCCAAAGAGAGUGGCUACAGCAUCCCCAGAAACUUCUAGAAAGCUUUAGCAAGGAUCCCAAGACUUCCACGUUCAACACUUAUGGAGGUAGGGAGAGGGUCCUAACCCAGAAGUUGGGCUUUCGAUUUCAAUCUCUUUCUCCUCAAAGCACUCAAAGCACCAGAAACUGCAUCUAGUAGGUUCUCAAACACACCCCAGCCCCAUCUCUCCUUAAAGGCCCCCAAGCGUCAAGGACAGAGAUGCAGGAUUCCACAGAAUGGAUCAGAUGCAGAUGCUCAGACAUAAGGAACUGAAGAUAGGGAUGAGCCUGCGCAGGGUCUGGUCCAUCACAGGAGCGUCCGAUCAGACCCAACCUCUCUGUAGUCCCUAAGUGGGUGCCUGACAGCAGUCCCACAGC